rfam:Tamlana nanhaiensis strain FHC16 contig28, whole genome shotgun sequence.
UAAGGUGGUUAUAGCGAUGGGGCUCACCUCUUACCUUUCCGAACAGAGAAGUUAAGCCCAUUAGCGCCGAUGGUACUACACUCGUGGGAGAGUAGGUCGCCGCCUUUU